CUAGGAGGGAGCAGUAGGUACUCGGAGGGAGCAGUAUGUACUAGGAGGGAGCAGUAUGUACUAGGAGGGAGCAGUAUGUACUAGGGGGGAGCAGUAUGUACUAGGAGGGAGCAGUAUGUACUAGGAGGGUGCAGUAUGUACUAGGAGGGAGCAGUAUGUACUAGGAGGGAGCAGGCUUUACAAGGGGGGAGCAGUGUGUACUAGUGGGGAGCAGUAUGUACUAGGAGGGAACAGUAUGUACUGGGAGGGAGCAGUAUGUACUAGGAGGGAGCAGUAUGUACUGGGAGGGAGCAGUGUGUACUGGGAGGGAGCAGUAUGUACUAGGAGGGUGCAGUAUGUACUAGUGGGGAGCAGUAUGUACUGGGAGGGAGCAGUAUGUACUAGUGGGGAGCAGUGUGUACUAGGAGGGAGCAGUAUGUACUAGGAGGGAACAGUAUGUACUAGGAGGGAGCAGUGUGUACUAGGAGGGAGCAGAGUGUACUAGUGGGGAGCAGUAUGUAUUAGGAGGGAGCUGUGUGUACUAGGAGGGAGCAGUAUGUACUAGGAGGGAGCAGUGUGUACUAGGGGGGAGCAGUAUGUACUAGGGGGGAGCAGUAUGUACUAGGGGGGAGCAGUAUGUACUGGGAGGGAGCAGUAUGUACUAGGAGGGAGAAGUAUGUACUACGAGGGAGCAGUAUGUACUAGGAGGGAGUAGUGUGUACUACAAGGGAACAGUAUGUACUAUGAGGGAGCAGUAUGUACUAGGAGGGAGCAGUAUGUACUAGGAGGGAGCAGUAUGUACUGGGAGGGUAGCAGUAUGUACUGGGAGGGAGCAGUAUGUACUAGGAGGGAGUAUGUACUAUGUACUAGGAGGGAGCAGUAUGUACUAGGAGGGAGCAGUGUGUACUAGGAGGGAGCAGUAUGUACUAGGAGGGAGCAGUGUGUACUAGGAGGGAGCAGUAUGUACUAGAGGGGAGCAGUAUGUACUAGGAGGGAGCAGUAUGUACUAGGAGGGAGCAGUGUGUACUAGGAGGGAGCAGUAUGUACUAGGAGGGAGCAGUAUGUACUAGAGGGAGCAGUAUGUACUAGGAGGGAGCAGUGUGUACUAGGAGGGAGCAGUAUGUACUAGGAGGGAGCAGUAUGUACUAGGAGGGAGCAGUAUGUACUAGGAGGGAGCAGUAUGUACUAGGAGGGAGCAGU
ensembl:lncRNA